GGAAACAUUGAGAUAACCCUAACUCAACCCUAUCUUCUCGAGCUACAUCCACACCCCACACAAGUGAGAGCUCCAUUGCACGAGUUUCUUCCUCUCUCCUUCUUAUUUUGCAAUAUAAAACUGUGCUCCUCCGCUCCCCUCACCGGCGGUGCUACCGAGCUCAGAGCCGGCGGCUCCAUUCACACUCCACACAAAUCUAACGAGCUUCUCCCUCUCUUCGUCAAUGAGCUGCUUUUUCUCUCCGUCGCAUGAGCAUCUUUUGCCACUGCCGCCGCCGCUCCGUCGCACGAGCCUCCUCCGCCGCCGCUCUCGUCGCAUCUGCUCCCUUCAUCAUCGUCCCUUGGAGGUUAGAUUUUUAAUCCGCUAAUUAACCAAAACUAAAGCCCUCCGUUUUUCUUUGCUUGGAGAUUUCAUGCAGAUCUGCUUCAAUCAAAACAAAUGCCCUAAAAGCUGGUAGUAACGAUGAAGGAAGACAAUAUAAUAUGGUGUUGUCUAUAGUGUUGAAGGGAAAAGGGAAGAGUUCUUGGAACAGCUUUUGAGUUCUAGGAACAGAUCAAGAUCAAGGAGUGGAAAAAAGAGAUAUUCAUAUGAGGAAUGCUCAUCAUCUUCUUCAGAUGUUAGUAAGGAAUAAUGAUUGACCAAUAUUUCACUUUGCUUUUGACACUCGAAUAGGCGAAGAAUAUUUCCAUUUUGACAAAGUCAACUCUUAUCUUGAGCCUCAUUUUUCAAUGAACAAAAGCAUUGCUGAGUCUAGUUCUUUAGUUGUAAGCACUCCAAAUCAUUGAAAAAUGUAAUUCAUGGAUUGCAUAUUUUUUUCAUUUGAAAAUCAUACUAGAACAAUAUAAUCUAAUAUGAGAAGCUGUUAAUGCUCUAGCUUGAUUUAUAUUUAUAAGAAAUUAUGAACUGAUUGAUUGAAUACCUUAUCUGCUUUU